rnacentral:rRNA from 1 species
UACGGAGGUGGCGAGCGUUGUCCGGAUUUACUGGGCGUAAAGAGCGCGCAGGCGGUCGUACAAGUCGCGUGUGAAAGCCCCCGGCUCAACUGGGGAGGGUCACUCGAUACUGAUCGACUUGAAGGCAGGAGAGGGAAGCGGAAUUCCCGGUGUAGUGGUGAAAUGCGUAGAUAUCGGGAGGAACACCAGUGGCGAAGGCGGCUUCCUGGCCUGUUCUUGACGCUGAGGCGCGAAAGCUAGGGGAGCAAACGGG